CAGCAGCCGCGGUAAUACGAAGGGGGCUAGCGUUGUUCGGAAUCACUGGGCGUAAGGGGUGCGUAGGCGGGAUCUUAAGUCAGGGGUGAAAUCCCGAGGCUCAACCUCGGAACUGCCUUUGAUACUGGGGUCCUUGAGUCCGGAAGAGGCGAGUGGAACUGCGAGUGUAGAGGUGAAAUUCGUAGAUAUUCGCAAGAACACCGGUGGCGAAGGCGGCUCACUGGUCCGGAACUGACGCUGAGGCACGACAGCGUGGGGAGCAAACAGGAUUAGAUACCCCAGUAGUCCCUGUCUCUUAUAC
rnacentral:rRNA from 1 species